rnacentral:rRNA from 1 species
CUACGGGAGGCUGCAGUGAGGAAUAUUGGACAAUGGAGGCAACUCUGAUCCAGCCAUGCCGCGUGCAGGAAGACGGCCCUAUGGGUUGUAAACUGCUUUUAUACAGGAAGAAACGCCUCCUCGUGAGGGGGUUUGACGGUACUGUACGAAUAAGGAUCGGCUAACUCCGUGCCAGCAGCCGCGGUAAUACGGAGGAUCCGAGCGUUAUCAGGAAUCAUUGGGUUUAAAGGGUCCGUAGGCGGUUUAAUAAGUCAGAGGUGAAAUCCUACAGCUCAACUGUAGAAUUGCCUUUGAUACUGUUAGACUUGAGUUAUUGUGAAGUAGUUAGAAUGUGUAGUGUAGCGGUGACAUGCAUAGAUAUUACACAGAAUACCGAUUGCGAAAGCAGCUUACUAACAAUAUACUGACGCUGAGGGACGAAAGCGUGGGUAGCGAACAGGAUUAGAUACCCGUGUAGUC